UACGGAAGCAGCAGUGGGGAAUAUUGCACAAUGGGCGCAAGCCUGAUGCAGCCAUGCCGCGUGUAUGAAAAAGGCCCUUCGGGUUGUAAAGUACUUUUCAGUCGUGAGGAAGGUGUUAAGGUUAAUAACCUUAGCAAUUGACGUUAGCGACAGAAGAAGCACCGGCUAACUCCGUGCCAGCAGCCGCGGUAAUACGGAGGGUGCGAGCGUUAAUCGGAAUUACUGGGCGUAAAGGGCACGCAGGCGGUUAAUUAAGUUGGAUGUGAAAUCCCCGGGCUUAACCUGGGAAUGGCAUUCAAGACUGGUUAGCUAGAGUCUUGUAGAGGGGGUAGAAUUCCAUGUGUAGCGGUGAAAUGCGUAGAGAUGUGGAGGAAUACCGGUGGCGAAGGCGGCCCCUGGACAAAGACUGACGCUCAUGUGCGAAAGCGUGGGGAGCAAAC
rnacentral:rRNA from 1 species